UACGUAGGGUGCAAGCGUUGUCCGGAAUUAUUGGGCGUAAAGAGCUCGUAGGCGGUUUGUUGCGUCGGCUGUCGAAAUCCCGAGGCUCAACCUCGGGUCUGCAGUCGAUACGAGCAAACUAGAGUGUUGCAGGGGAGACUGGAAUUCCUGGUGUAGCGGUGAAAUGCGCAGAUAUCAGGAGGAACACCGGUGGCGAAGGCGGGUCUCUGGGCAACAACUGACGCUGGAGGAGCGAAAGCGUGGGGAGCGAACAGG
rnacentral:rRNA from 1 species